AUAAUAUCAAGUUCAAGUAUGCAUAAACGAACGUUACGUACUCACAACUUACAACGUUUUUAUUUUAAUAAAUUUUGAAAUUAAAAGUUUCUAUUGAUGUUUCAGAUGGUAAAAGAUACUAGGUAGCUUAGCUUAGGUUGCAGAAACAAAUGGCAGUCCAGUCCAGUCCAGUCCAGGUGUUCUUCUCCCAACAUCAUUGCACACCUUGCCCGCACUUCUUUACACUGAUCACCAGAUUUUUAUCAUUUUCAACUGUUUUUUGUUCUUUUCAAUAUAAACUGUAUAAUUAAGUGCUGUGCAGGUUUGGCAUUGGCAAGAAAAAGAUAAUUAACUUUAUCUGACUGGGACUGCAAUUCUUAAUAUAAGUUUGCAGGCAUGCGAAUAUGAUGCU
rnacentral:lncRNA from 1 species